rnacentral:rRNA from 1 species
UACGUAGGGUGCAAGCGUUGUCCGGAAUUAUUGGGCGUAAAGAGCUCGUAGGCGGUCUGUCGCGUCUGCUGUGAAAACUCAGGGCUUAACCCUGAGCUUGCAGUGGGUACGGGCAGACUAGAGUGCGGUAGGGGAGACUGGAAUUCCGUGGUGUAGCGGUGAAAUGCGCAGGAUAUCAGGAGGAACACCCGGUGGGCGAAGGCGGGUCUCUGGGC